GCCGCCAAGGACGGCGGUUAAAUCAUACAGAAGCGAUAUUUUGGUUUCACCAAAAUUCGCUAUAAACAGAUGUACACGGAAGUACAUCUGUUUAUGACG
rfam:Treponema maltophilum ATCC 51939 genomic scaffold aczIZ-supercont-complete, whole genome shotgun sequence.